rnacentral:rRNA from 1 species
UACAGAGGGUGCAAGCGUUAAUCGGAAUUACUGGGCGUAAAGCGUGCGUAGACGGUUGCGUAAGUCAGAUGUGAAAUCUCCCGGCUCAACUGGGAGGGUGCGCCGAAGACUGGAAGGCUUGAGUAUGGGAGAGGUAAGCGGAAUUCCUGGUGUAGCGGUGAAAUGCGUAGAUAUCAGGAGGAACACCUGCGGUGUAGACGGCUUACUGGACCAUAACUGACGCUGAGGCACGAAAGCGUGGGUAGCAAACAGG